UACGCAGGGGGCUAGCGUUGCUCGGAAUCACUGGGCGUAAAGCGCACGUAGGCGGACUCUUAAGUCAGGGGUGAAAUCCUGGAGCUCAACUCCAGAACUGCCUUUGAUACUGGGAGUCUUGAGUUCGGGGGAGGUGAGUGGAACUGCGAGUGUAGAGGUGAAAUUCGUAGAUAUUCGCAAGAACACCAGUGGCGAAGGCGGCUCACUGGCCCGAUACUGACGCUGAGGUGCGAAAGCGUGGGGAGCAAACAGG
rnacentral:rRNA from 1 species